rnacentral:rRNA from 1 species
UACGUAGGGGGCAAGCGUUGUCCGGAAUCAUUGGGCGUAAAGAGCGCGUAGGCGGUCCGGUAAGUCCGCUGUGAAAGUCGGGGGGCUCAACCCUCGAAUGCCGGUGGAUACUGUCGGGCUAGAGUCCGGAAGAGGCGAGUGGAAUUCCUGGUGUAGCGGUGAAAUGCGCAGAUAUCAGGAGGAACACCAAUGGCGAAGGCAGCUCGCUGGGACGGUACUGACGCUGAGGCGCGAAAGCGUGGGGAGCAAACAGG